rnacentral:piRNA from 1 species
UUGGUGCUUGUUGGCUCUGCUGGGAAUUC